rnacentral:rRNA from 1 species
UCGUGGAGUGAUCUGUCUGCUUAAUUGCGUUUCAGAUAAAAUGUGACAUUUCAGUGUCUUGGUGCGUGGCUCUUCGGAGCCCUUACCUCGCACGUGUGUCACUGUGAAAGCAACGAACGUGACCGCAACCCUUUGUUGCAUCCGUCCAACUAACGGAUUUGCUAACUAAGGGGACCGCUAGGUUUGUCUAACCGGAGGAAGGUUGCGGCAAUAACA